rnacentral:rRNA from 1 species
AUUGAACGCUGGCGGCAGGCCUAACACAUGCAAGUCGAGCGGAUGAAGGGAGCUUGCUCCUGGAUUCAGCGGCGGACGGGUGAGUAAUGCCUAGGAAUCUGCCUGGUAGUGGGGGAUAACGUCCGGAAACGGGCGCUAAUACCGCAUACGUCCUGAGGGAGAAGGUGGGGGAUCUUCGGACCUCACGCUAUCAGAUGAGCCUAGGUCGGAUUAGCUAGUUGGUGGGGUAAAGGCCUACCAAGGCGACGAUCCGUAACUGGUCUGAGAGGAUGAUCACUCACACUGGAACGGAGACACGGUCCAGGCUCCUGCGGGAGGCAGCAGUGGGGAAUAUUAGACAGUGGGCGAAAGCCUGAUCCAGCCAUGCCGCGUGUGUGGAGAAGGUCUUGGGAUCGUAAAGCCCUUUAACUUGGGGGGAAGGGCAGUAGGUUAAUACCUUGCUGUAUUGACGGUACCAACAAAAUAAGCACCGGCUAACUUCGUG